UUGAGCUUGCUUCUACCUAUACAAAGCCCAAGUCUUUCCUUCUUUCCUUGUUCACGUCAGAGUUGGGCAGAGAGAAAAGUAACGUCGUUCAGCUCUUCUCUUCCACGUUAUUACCAUGCAUAUGGCAACUCCUCCAAGAACAUCACUCCAGAUAUUCAAAAGGGAGAGUCCCAAACCAGAGACUGUCGUCCACCCUCCUCUUCUCACCCUCUCUCUUUGCUGGGCACAUCAGUGUGUUUGUAUGCCUCGAAACUCCUAGUUAGGGACCUCCGAUCAAAAAACUUUCUUCAUCAAAGUUGUUUGUCUACAUCUCAUUUAUCUAGUCUCCAAAUUUCAGCUCCAUCGGAGACUUUUUGGGAUCUGUACAUCCCUCGAAGAGGAAGCUUAUCGGAAGCGAGCCUGUUCCGGAUUUCUGCUUGAAUUCCCUCUCUUGCUCUACCCGAAUCCCUCACAUCUUACUUGAGACUAAUACAAACACUUGUUUCUGUUUCACUCUGCAUGUUCGAGAUGGAGCGAAUUUGUUGACCUGCAAUUGGGCUUGAUCCAAUCAGCUCCCUCAGCUCUCUUUCCUGUUGAAAUCCUCAAGAGAAACUCACCUUUUUUAUUAGUCUUUGGCUCGAUACUGUGGUGGAAUCUUGUGAAGUUGGUGGUUGCUACAAGGUUGCAUUGAGGCCAAGUGCUGCAAGAGAAACCUCUAGUUCCAGAUUGGAUUGAUGUGUUGGAAAUUGAUGGGGAUGUAAGGAGAGGUCUGUUCCUCCUUGAGCCACCGGUGGUGGGUAGUGUGCACCAUGCCCUUGUUAUUGAAUACCUCCCCCUUCUCUAACCUUGUGAUUAUU